UACGGGGGGAGCAAGCGUUGUUCGGAUUUACUGGGCGUAAAGGGCGCGUAGGCGGUCAGCACAAGUCAGUUGUGAAAUCUCCGGGCUUAACUCGGAAAGGUCAACUGAUACUGUGCGACUAGAGUGCGGAAGGGGCAACUGGAAUUCUCGGUGUAGCGGUGAAAUGCGUAGAUAUCGGGAGGAACACCAGUGGCGAAGGCGGCUCACUGGCCCGGUACUGACGCUGAGGAGCGAAAGCGUGGGUAGCAAACAGG
rnacentral:rRNA from 1 species